rnacentral:snRNA from 1 species
UGCUCGAGUUUAUCUUCAUUAUCGCAUAAAUCUUUCGCCUUUUACUAAAGAUUUCCGUAGAGGGGAACUUUUUGCUAGUGACCUGUGUUUUUGGAGGCUCUGAUCACAGCAGAGCU